rnacentral:rRNA from 1 species
GACGAACGCUGGCGGCGUGCUUAACGCAUGCAAGUCGAACGGGAUCCGGGCUUUCGGGUUUGGUGAGAGUGGCGAACGGGUGAGUAACACGUGAGUAACCUGCCCCCUUCUUUGGGAUAACGUCGGGAAAUCGGCGCUAAUACUGGAUAUUCUUGCUGCAUCGCAUGGUGUGGUUUGGAAAGGGUUUCUGGUGGGGGAUGGGCUCGCGGCCUAUCAGCUUGUUGGUGGGGUGAUGGCCUACCAAGGCUUUGACGGGUAGCCGGCCUGAGAGGGUGUCCGGCCACACUGGGACUGAGACACGGCCCAGACUCCUACGGGAGGCAGCAGUGGGGAAUAUUGCACAAUGGGCGCAAGCCUGAUGCAGCGACGCCGCGUGAGGGAUGACGGCCUUCGGGUUGUAAACCUCUUUCAGUAUGGAACAAGGAUCCUUCGUUUGGGGGGUUUGAGGGUACGUGCAGAAGAAGCGCCGGCUAACUACGUG